rnacentral:rRNA from 1 species
GAAUGCUGACAUAAGUAACGAUAAAGCGGGUGAAAAGCCCGCUCGCCGGAAGACCAAGGGUUCCUGUCCAACGUUAAUCGGGGCAGGGUGAGUCGACCCCUAAGGCGAGGCCGAAAGGCGUAGUCGAUGGGAAACGGGUUAAUAUUCCCGUACUUGGUGUUACUGCGAAGGGGGGACGGAGAAGGCUAUGUUGGCCGGGCGACGGUUGUCCCGGUUUAAGCGUGUAGGUGUGUGUUCCAGGUAAAUCCGGUUCACUUUAACACUGAGGCGUGACGACGAGGCACUACGGUGCUGAAGCAACAAAUGCCCUGCUUCCAGGAAAAGCCUCUAAGCAUCAGGUAACAUCAAAUCGUACCCCAAACCGACACAGGUGGUCAGGUAGAGAAUACCAAGGCGCUUGAGAGAACUCGGGUGAAGGAACUAGGCAAAAUGGUGCCGUAACUUCGGGAGAAGGCACGCUGACACGUAGGUGAAGUGAUUUACUCAUGGAGCUGAAGUCAGUCGAAGAUACCAGCUGGCUGCAACUGUUUAUUAAAAACACAGCACUGUGCAAACACGAAAGUGGACGUAUACGGUGUGACGCCUGCCCGGUGCCGGAAGGUUAAUUGAUGGGGUCAGCGCAAGCGAAGCUCCUGAUCGAAGCCCCGGUAAACGGCGGCCGUAACUAUAACGGUCCUAAGGUAGCGAAAUUCCUUGUCGGGUAAGUUCCGACCUGCACGAAUGGCGUAAUGAUGGCCAGGCUGUCUCCACCCGAGACUCAGUGAAAUUGAACUCGCUGUGAAGAUGCAGUGUACCCGCGGCAAGACGGAAAGACCCCGUGAACCUUUACUAUAGCUUGACACUGAACAUUGAGCCUUGAUGUGUAGGAUAGGUGGGAGGCUUUGAAGUGUGGACGCCAGUCUGCAUGGAGCCGACCUUGAAAUACCACCCUUUAAUGUUUGAUGUUCUAACGUGGACCCGUGAUCCGGGUUGCGGACAGUGUCUGGUGGGUAGUUUGACUGGGGCGGUCUCCUCCUAAAGAGUAACGGAGGAGCACGAAGGUUGGCUAAUCCUGGUCGGACAUCAGGAGGUUAGUGCAAUGGCAUAAGCCAGCUUGACUGCGAGCGUGACGGCGCGAGCAGGUGCGAAAGCAGGUCAUAGUGAUCCGGUGGUUCUGAAUGGAAGGGCCAUCGCUCAACGGAUAAAAGGUACUCCGGGGAUAACAGGCUGAUACCGCCCAAGAGUUCAUAUCGACGGCGGUGUUUGGCACCUCGAUGUCGGCUCAUCACAUCCUGGGGCUGAAGUAGGUCCCAAGGGUAUGGCUGUUCGCCAUUUAAAGUGGUACGCGAGCUGGGUUUAGAACGUCGUGAGACAGUUCGGUCCCUAUCUGCCGUGGGCGCUGGAGAACUGAGGGGGGCUGCUCCUAGUACGAGAGGACCGGAGUGGACGCAUCACUGGUGUUCGGGUUGUCAUGCCAAUGGCACUGCCCGGUAGCUAAAUGCGGAAGAGAUAAGUGCUGAAAGCAUCUAAGCACG